GAUGAACGCUGGCGGCGUGCCUAAUACAUGCAAGUCGAGCGAACAGAUAAGGAGCUUGCUCCUUUGACGUUAGCGGCGGACGGGUGAGUAACACGUGGGUAACCUACCUAUAAGACUAGGAUAACUUCGGGAAACCGGAGCUAAUACCGGAUAACAUUUGGAACCGCAUGGUUCUAAAGUGAAAGAUGGUUUUGCUAUCACUUAUAGAUGGACCCGCGCCGUAUUAGCUAGUUGGUAAGGUAACGGCUUACCAAGGCAACGAUACGUAGCCGACCUGAGAGGGUGAUCGGCCACACUGGAACUGAGACACGGUCCAGACUCCUACGGGAGGCAGCAGUAGGGAAUCUUCCGCAAUGGGCGAAAGCCUGACGGAGCAACGCCGCGUGAGUGAUGAAGGGUUUCGGCUCGUAAAACUCUGUUAUUAGGGAAGAACAAAUGUGUAAGUAACUGUGCACGUCUUGACGGUACCUAAUCAGAAAGCCACGGCUAACUACGUG
rnacentral:rRNA from 1 species